AUUGAACGCUGGCGGCAGGCCUAACACAUGCAAGUCGAACGAGUGGCGGACUGGUGAGUAAUUUCUGGGAAACUGCCCGAUGGAGGGGGAUAACUACUGGAACCGGUAGCUACUACCGCAUACCAUCGGAUGUGCCCAGGUGGGAUUAGCUAGUAGGUGGGGUAACGGCUCACCUAGGCGACGAUCCCUAGCUGGUCUGAGAGGAUGACCAGCCAAACUGGAACUGAGACACGGUCCAGACUCCUACGGGAGGCAGCAGUGGGGAAUAUUGCACAAUGGGCGAAAGCCUGAGGCAGCCAUGCCGCGUGUAUGAAGAAGGCCUUCGGGUUGUAAAGUACUGUCAGCGGGGAGGCGGUACCCGCAGAAGAAGCACCGGCUAACUCCGUGCCAGCAGCCGCGGUAAUAC
rnacentral:rRNA from 1 species